GCGCCCGUAGCUCAGCUGGAUAGAGUGUCUGACUACGAAUCAGAAGGUCGCAGGUUCGAGUCCUGCCGGGCGCACCA
rnacentral:tRNA from 1 species